GGGGAAUAUUGCACAAUGGGGGAAACCCUGAUGCAGCAACGCCGCGUGAGUGAAGAAGGUCUUCGGAUCGUAAAGCUCUGUUGUAUGGGACGAUAAUGACGGUACCAUACAAGGAAGCCACGGCUAACUACGUGCCAGCAGCCGCGGUAAUACGUAGGUGGCAAGCGUUGUCCGGAAUUACUGGGUGUAAAGGAUGCGUAGGCGGAUAUGUAAGUCAGAUGUGAAACCCCCGGGCUUAACCCGGGGCAUGCAUUUGAGACUGCAUAUCUAGAGUGCAGGAGAGGAAAGCGGAAUUCCUAGUGUAGCGGUGAAAUGCGUAGAUAUUAGGAAGAACACCAGUGGCGAAGGCGGCUUUCUGGACUGUAACUGACGCUGAUGCAUGAAAGCGUGGGGAGCAAAC
rnacentral:rRNA from 1 species